UUAAGUGACGAUAGCCUAGGGGAUACACCUGUUUCCAUGCCGAACACAGCCGUUAAGCCCUAGCGCGCCUGAAGUAGUGGGAGGCUGCCUCCUGUGAGAUAGGGGCGUUGCUUAGC
rfam:Streptococcus macacae NCTC 11558 final_molecule, whole genome shotgun sequence.